GCUGGCAGGGCUGGCAGCACCUCCAGAAGUCCCAGCACUGCUGCAGUGAGGACCUGCCUGUGUUUUGUGGCAUUUCUUCCCAGAGAGAACAAGAUCUGCCUGAUGGAUGAAUGCAGAGACCCAGAAAUAGGGAAUUCAUAACCUGGAUGGUGAAUUUGAUGCGGAAUGGGCUGAGUUUAAGGUAGGUCUGACUCAUUGCAGAGGUGAUCUGCACAGUGUAGCUUUUCAGUGGAAACUCCACUGAGUUUCAGAAACCUCUUCAAGCAAAGAAACAGGCUGGAAUGGUGAGUGGAGCCACCCCAAAAUUCACUUGCAGACAUUCACAGGCCAGGCUAACCCUGUCCCUCAGCACUGAAGUGCUGCAGAAAGCCUGAGACAGACAGGUAUCAGUGUGCUGAUAAAAACAGAACUCAGUUUGUUCCAAGGAAGGGGGCUGGCCUAACUUUUGUACAGCAAAUUCCUUCCUGAGCUGAUAAAGGCACAUUGAAUAUUGAGCCCUCUCAGGGAACAUUGUGUUGAAACCAGAGAGCUUUUGCCCAAAAUCCCACUGAGGAUUUGCAGCUUUCUAAGUGCACCAACUCCAGCCUGUGCAGCCCUGCUUGCCAACUCACAGACAGAAUCUGCUGACACAUGAAACCUCUACUUUUUGUAUUUCAUCUCUGUUUCUCAUCCUCUCCUGUAAAUGCUGAAGAUCUGAGGCUGCAAAACUACACUGCCACUGCUCCAAUUCCCAGGCACGAUGCCUGGGCUCUCUCCCUGCUCUGCAGCCCAAAGAACUCGGGAUAUCUCCCUUAACUCUUCUCCUGUUUCUGCUGCUCAAUGGCCUGUAAAAAGAUUUUCUUCACUUGCUCCAUUGUGUCUUGAUACAGUUUAAAAUCUUCCUCUUUCUUUCUCACAGUUGAUUCCAAAGCAGCCUGCAGAGCUUUGUUCUCAUCCAGCUGGGUCACAAGCCUAGGAGGAAACAAAGGGAAAACUUUCCUGUGAGCUGUGGAGCUCCAAAGCAAAUCAAAACAGCUCUUCUGUUUUGGGGAAGAGACUCUUCAACACGGGAUCUCUGGUGAUUUUGUGACAGCCCUGAGAAAGAGCAGAGUUAACGCUUGUUCCCUCCCUUUUUGAGGUGGGAAAGGGUAAACACAGCUUGGAGAGAGGGAAAACUCACCUUAUGUUCAGCUCCUCUCCCUUUGAUUCCAGGGGCAGCUGGGACAGGGGGAAUGCAGGGAGCUCCUUCCUGUCACUCACAUUUAAGGGGAGUCUUGAGUGACCCACAGACUGGACUGUAGAAUUAAUCACAAAAUAGAGUUUUAGUAAAACAAGCAAUUGUUUUUAAUGAGUAAAUCUCAAGAAACAGUGAACAAAUACUAAGGAAUUCAUUAAAUUCUACAUAUAUCCAUGAUAAUACUGUAAAUAUAUAGGACAGAGUUUUAUUUUAGUCUCCUUUCAGCAAAAUAAAAACAUGAUGAAUUUGCAUUUCAGGGCUAAAUGCAGUAAUACAGGUGCCUACAUGUGUAGAGAGGAGAACAACUAAUCCAUAAUAUUAAAGCGAGAGGGAAAUAAUUAAUCCAUAAUAUUUAAGUGACCAAAACAAUAAGUGACAAGGAACAGCUGAAAAGGAUUAUUUUGAUGUUAACCUUGUAAUUGUGUUUCAGAUGCUGACAACUGUUGCUUCCUGAGUGUCCGUCACAACGUUUGCACGUGGCACAUUUUGAAACAGCUUUUGUAAAGCACUUUGACCCUCAGCAUAAACACAAGUUAAAUGUACUUCAGUGUGUGCUUCAAACUAAGGUUCUAAAUUUAUUUAGGAUUGUCCACCCCAAAGAUGCAGCUCCUAUCGUUUCAAGGGGACACAGAAACUUUUUGCAGGGUUAUAGAGAAAAUAUAAUUCAAAAAAUAUGAUUCAAAAUUUACUACUGGGACUGGAGAAGCCAAAACACUGUGAUUCUACUGUACAUUGCAACUGCUGUUUUGUGCUUGUGUUGCUGGUUUGGUGCACUGCUGUAUCACUUUUCUGAAUUCACAUCCCUCAGAACAUCAAAUCUCUUCAAAUAAGUAAGUUUGGUAUUAGAACACUAAAUGUGGAAUAUCUAAAAGGAGCUGGUUGGAAACUCCUGAGCUCUGACAAAAACAAAGCAGAAGAAAAGGUUGUGCUGUGUAACCAAGAAAUGCUUUUGAUCUUGGGGCUGUGUUUUACAGGGCUGAGGAAAACCUGCUGUUACUUACCUGUCCUCCUCUGGGAUAAUUCUUUGAUAAUUUGGAAUUUGGAUAAGACAGCAGCCAAGGAUUGUGAACACUGAGAACUCCCCACUGGAGCCCCAGCCCUUGCUGUCAGCCAAGUGACAGUCUUGACAUGGAGCCACUUGUGGAUGGGAUUGAUAUUUCUGUGUUUUCUUGCUGCUUAAACAACUUGAAGAAAAGUUAUGUACUAACAGGAAAGAAACUGAGGAGUUACAAAAGAGGAUUCCUGCUUUAUUAUUCCACCAGGAGAGACUGUCAGUAGGACUGUCUCGAGGUAGCACCUCAGACAACAAGGAUCUAGAUCUAAAAUGAUGACACAGGGUGCUUUUCUGGUUCAUUUGUUCUCCUACCUGAAGUGUGAGUUUCCCAAUCACCUCUUCCAUCUUUUUAACCUUUGCCACCAGCUCCUUGAGGUGCUCUAUGAGGCAGCUUUGUUCCUCAGUCUCUUUGUUCAAUAUCUGCCCUAUUUUCCAAGACUCCUUGUUCUCAUCCUCCUUCUGGCUCAGGUCCUUUAAGAUAUCCUGCAUUUGCUUCUGCUGGCUCUGAUAAAAUAGAAACAACGAGUGAGAUCUUCAUUUUGUACACCAUGAUUAUUUACAUCAUCCAAACAAAUCUCCAUUUAGGAAUGGUAGGACAAGCUCCUGCCCUGCCAAACCCAUUCCUUGGUGGGAGCACACUGGUUUCACCAGUGCUGCUCUAGGAGUUUGAUUUGUUGUGUUGACCUGAGCAACUGAGAGAUUCAAUUUGCAGCUCAUUGAUUCAGUAGCAGCUUUGCUACUCAGUGUAACAGAAAACAGAGCAAGCCUUGGACAAAGAAGGUGAAUUAAUUUUUCAUAAACUGGAUGAAAGUCAAGAUUUCAAUGUGCUUUUUGUGAAAUUAGCCCAUGAUCAGACUGUGUGACAGUGACAUUAAAAGAUGAGGGUACUGUGAGGUGACAGCUAUGAGUUCAGGUGGCUUCACCAGUGAGUUUUGGAGGUUUUCUUUCACAAUGACAAAUCUAAUACCUGUCAGACAGUUUGUUCUGUCAGGUCAACAAACUGCAAGGAAAGUACAUCCUCGAUAUAAGGGAUAAAACAGAUCAACCAUCCCUUCCCAAAUAAACUUGCAUCUUUCUGCAAUAAUUUUAGUGAGAAUGCUCAGAUCUGGCAAAAAUGAUAACUGUUAUUUGGCUCUUCUAAUCUGCUGCUCAGCACCCAAGCUCCUCACAGUGCCUGCUGUGAGAAGGGUGAAUUCCUGCUCAGUUAUAAACAUGCCUUAGCUAAAACUUGUGCACAGAAGCAAGGAAAUCCAAGUGGUUUGAAACUGGUGAGGAGCUGGAUCAGGAAACACAGAACUAACCCUGCUAAGAACUGGCAUGUUCUCUAAUAUAUAUAUAUAUUAUUUUUUACUAUUUUAAUUGGGGAAGGCUAUUUAGAACCAUGGCAGGACUAAAGAACCCUGCAAUACCAUGACAGCAGUCAUUUAUUUCUUUUUCAGCACCUUAAGUCUGCUGAAACUCUUGGUUUUGAAGGGGCCAAACCCUCUCAGCUUCAGCUGCUGCCAGUGAACGUGCACAUGGUUUAGAACUCAUGUGUGGUUUUGGCUGUUUAACACAAUAAAUGAAAGCUGUGUUACAAAGAAAGGAAAUCUUGCAAAACUGCAGGCAUUCUAAAGAAAAAAAACAAUCUACCAAUGGAGCUGAAAGUAGAACAGACAAUACAGUCCAUCUCCAUGGGUCAGGAAUGAAGCUCUUCCUCUACCUACAAGACAAAUCCUUUUUCAAUCCUUCUGCAAAAUGUUUCUUCCAACUCUUGCAGCUUUGACUGCAACUGUCACACCUGGUGCUGUCUUGCAGCCUUUACAUGACCUGACCCAAAAUGCAGAAGGGCUUUAGCUGACUAGGAAACCUCUGGCUGUCACAGUUGGAUUCAUCAGGCUCCUGUAUCCCCCAAGGUUGUCUGUGUCACUGAAUGACAUCAUGUUUCACCACUUACAGAAAGAGGGCUGGGACCAACAGAUAAAGUCAGACCGUACCAGCAAGGCA